UAGGGAAUCUUCCGCAAUGGACGAAAGUCUGACGGAGCAACGCCGCGUGAGUGAUGAAGGUCUUCGGAUCGUAAAGCUCUGUUGUUAGGGAAGAACAAAUGUGUAAGUAACUGUGCACAUCUUGACGGUACCUAACCAGAAAGCCACGGCUAACUACGUGCCAGCAGCCGCGGUAAUACGUAGGUGGCAAGCGUUAUCCGGAAUUAUUGGGCGUAAAGCGCGCGUAGGCGGUUUUUUAAGUCUGAUGUGAAAGCCCACGGCUCAACCGUGGAGGGUCAUUGGAAACUGGAAAACUUGAGUGCAGAAGAGGAAAGUGGAAUUCCAUGUGUAGCGGUGAAAUGCGCAGAGAUAUGGAGGAACACCAGUGGCGAAGGCGGCUUUCUGGUCUGCAACUGACGCUGAUGUGCGAAAGCGUGGGGAUCAAACAGGAUUAGAUACCCUGGUAGUCCACGCCGUAAACGAUGAGUGCUAAGUGUUAGGGGGUUUCCGCCCCUUAGUGCUGCAGCUAACGCAUUAAGCACUCCGCCUGGGGAGUACGGUCGCAAGACUGAAACUCAAAGGAAUUGACCGGGACCCGCACAAGCGGUGGAGCAUGUGGUUUAAUUCGA
rnacentral:rRNA from 1 species